rnacentral:lncRNA from 1 species
CUGGAACACAUGGUCUCCAUGGAAGGGAAGGAGAGGGCUGGAGAAUCACACAUGAUGAUAUAGGCAGGAGCCCUGGUAUCUUGAUCCAAGCUGGACUUCUGGGUCCCAAAAGCCCAUCUGACGUACAGGGUCAAGAACUGGCUACAGAAUGUGAAACAGAGGAAAUCCAUGUGCUUGUUGAUAAGCAAAAAAGAAGACAUCUAAUCCAAGAUAUUCAAGAUAUUUCUACCAUGCAGGAAAUGAAUUCAGAGUCUGCAACUGUGUUUUCUCUGUAUCUAUCUGAAAUAGUGUAUGAACCUCCCCUAUCCCAAGUCCUGGGGGCUAAGUUGGGUAUAUUACUCCUGUGUCCUCACUGCCCUUAUAUAUACCAUUUCAGUAUAUGUCACCAUGUGCUUUAAUUGCUUCUUUGCCUAUCUAUAUCCCCCAUUUGAAUGUGAAUUCUAGAAGGGUAGAAACUAUGCUGGCCUAAAACACACUGAUGUCCCCAAGAUGUAGCACAGGGCCUGGUAUACAGUAGAGGCUCAAUAAAUAUUUAUCAAA